rnacentral:rRNA from 1 species
UGCAAGUCGAACGGUAACAGGUUAAGCUGACGAGUGGCGAACGGGUGAGUAAUGUAUCGGAACGUGCCCAGUCGUGGGGGAUAACUGCUCGAAAGAGCAGCUAAUACCGCAUACGACCUGAGGGUGAAAGCGGGGGAUCGCAAGACCUCGCGCGAUUGGAGCGGCCGAUAUCAGAUUAGGUAGUUGGUGAGGUAAAGGCUCACCAAGCCGACGAUCUGUAGCUGGUCUGAGAGGACGACCAGCCACACUGGGACUGAGACACGGCCCAGACUCCUACGGGAGGCAGCAGUGGGGAAUUUUGGACAAUGGGCGCAAGCCUGAUCCAGCCAUGCCGCGUGCGGGAAGAAGGCCUUCGGGUUGUAAACCGCUUUUGUCAGGGAAGAAAAGGUUCUGGCUAAUACCUGGGACUCAUGACGGUACCUGAAGAAUAAGCACCGGCUAACUACGUGCCAGCAGCCGCGGUAAUACGUAGGGUGCAAGCGUUAAUCGGAAUUACUGGGCGUAAAGCGUG